UACGUAGGGUGCGAGCGUUGUCCGGAAUUACUGGGCGUAAAGAGCUCGUAGGUGGUUUUGUCGCGUUUGUCCGUGAAAACUCACAACUCAAUUGUGGGCGUGCGGGCGAUACGGGCAGACUGGAGUACUGCAGGGAGACUGGAAUUCCUGGUGUAGCGGUGAAAUGCGCAGAUAUCAGGAGGAACACCGGUGGCGAAGGCGGGUCUCUGGGCCGAUACUGACGCUGAGGAGCGAAAGCGUGGGGAGCGAACGGG
rnacentral:rRNA from 1 species